GAUGAACGCUGGCGGCGUGCCUAAUACAUGCAAGUCGAGCGAACAGACGAGGAGCUUGCUCCUCUGACGUUAGCGGCGGACGGGUGAGUAACACGUGGAUAACCUACCUAUAAGACUGGGAUAACUUCGGGAAACCGGAGCUAAUACCGGAUAAUAUAUUGAACCGCAUGGUUCAAUAGUGAAAGACGGUUUUGCUGUCACUUAUAGAUGGAUCCGCGCCGCAUUAGCUAGUUGGUAAGGUAACGGCUUACCAAGGCAACGAUGCGUAGCCGACCUGAGAGGGUGGUCGCCCACCCUGGAACUGAGACACGGUCCAGACUCCUACGGGAGGCAGCAGUAGGGAAUCUUCCGCAAGGGGCGAAAGCCUGACGGAGCAACGCCGCGUGAAGGAUGAAGGACUUCGGAUCGGAAAACUCUGUUAUUAGGGAAGAAGAAAUGUGUAAGUAACUAUGCACGUCUUGACGGUACCUAAUCAGAAAGCCACGGCUAACUACGUG
rnacentral:rRNA from 1 species